AUUGAACGCUGGCGGCAGGCCUAACACAUGCAAGUCGAGCGAGCGGCGGACGGGUGAGUAAUGUCUGGGAAACUGCCUGAUGGAGGGGGAUAACUCCUGGAAACGGUAGCUAAUACCGCAUACCCUCAGAUGUGCCCAGAUGGGAUUAGCUCGUAGGUGGGGUAACGGCUCACCUAGGCGACGAUCCCUAGCUGGUCUGAGAGGAUGACCAGCCAAACUGGAACUGAGAAACGGUCCAGACGCCUACGGGAGGCAGCAGUGGGGAAUAUUGCACAAUGGGCGCAAGCCUGAUGCAGCCAUGCCGCGUGUGUGAAGAAGGCCUUCGGGUUGUAAAGUACUUUCAGCGGGGAGGCGUUACCCGCAGAAGAAGCACCGGCUAACUCCGUGCCAGCAGCCGCGGUAAUAC
rnacentral:rRNA from 1 species